rnacentral:rRNA from 1 species
UACAGAGGUCCCGAGCGUUGUUCGGAUUCACUGGGCGUAAAGGGUGCGUAGGCGGCGCGGUAAGUCGGGUGUGAAAUCUCGGGGCUUAACUCCGAAACUGCAUUCGAUACUACCGUGCUUGAGGACUGGAGAGGAGACUGGAAUUUACGGUGUAGCGGUGAAAUGCGUAGAUAUCGUAAGGAAGACCAGUGGCGAAGGCGGGUCUCUGGACAGUUCCUGACGCUGAGGCACGAAGGCCAGGGGAGCAAACGGG